rnacentral:rRNA from 1 species
UAGGGAAUCUUCCACAAUGGACGCAAGUCUGAUGGAGCAACGCCGCGUGAGUGAAGAAGGUCUUCGGAUCGUAAAGCUCUGUUGUUGGUGAAGAAGGAUAGAGGCAGUAACUGGUCUUUAUUUGACGGUAAUCAACCAGAAAGUCACGGCUAACUACGUACCAGCAGCCGCGGUAAUACGUAGGUGGCAAGCGUUGUCCGGAUUUAUUGGGCGUAAAGCGAGCGCAGGCGGAAUGAUAAGUCUGAUGUGAAAGCCCACGGCUCAACCGUGGAACUGCAUCGGAAACUGUCAUUCUUGAGUGCAGAAGAGGAGAGUGGAACUCCAUGUGUAGCGGUGGAAUGCGUAGAUAUAUGGAAGAACACCAGUGGCGAAGGCGGCUCUCUGGUCUGCAACUGACGCUGAGGCUCGAAAGCAUGGGUAGCGAACAGGAUUAGAUACCCUGGUAGUCCAUGCCGUAAACGAUGAGCGCUAGGUGUUGGGG